rnacentral:rRNA from 1 species
GGCGUAAGGGCUCGCAGGCGGUUUCUUAAGUCUGAUGUGAAAGCCCCCGGCUCAACCGGGGAGGGUCAUUGGAAACUGGGGAACUUGAGUGCAGAAGAGGAGAGUGGAAUUCCACGUGUAGCGGUGAAAUGCGUAGAGAUGUGGAGGAACACCAGUGGCGAAGGCGACUCUCUGGUCUGUAACUGACGCUGAGGAGCGAAAGCGUGGGGAGCGAACAGGAUUAGAUACCCUGGUAGUCCACGCCGUAAACGAUGAGUGCUAAGUGUUAGGGGGUUUCCGCCCCUUAGUGCUGCAGCUAACGCAUUAAGCACUCCGCCUGGGGAGUACGGUCGCAAGACUGAAACUCAAAGGAAUUGACGGGGGCCCGCACAAGCGGUGGAGCAUGUGGUUUAAUUCGAAGCAACGCGAAGAACCUUACCAGGUCUUGACAUCCUCUGACAAUCCUAGAGAUAGGACGUCCCCUUCGGGGGCAGAGUGACAGGUGGUGCAUGGUUGUCGUCAGCUCGUGUCGUGAGAUGUUGGGUUAAGUCCCGCAACGAGCGCAACCCUUGAUCUUAGUUGCCAGCAUUCAGUUGGGCACUCUAAGGUGACUGCCGGUGACAAACCGGAGGAAGGUGGGGAUGACGUCAAAUCAUCAUGCCCCUUAUGACCUGGGCUACACACGUGCUACAAUGGACAGAACAAAGGGCAGCGAAACCGCGAGGUUAAGCCAAUCCCACAAAUCUGUUCUCAGUUCGGAUCGCAGUCUGCAACUCGACUGCGUGAAGCUGGAAUCGCUAGUAAUCGCGGAUCAGCAUGCC